rnacentral:rRNA from 2 species
CUGGCUGUGUGCCUAAUACAUGCAUGUCGAGCGAUGAUAGCAAUAUCAUAGCGGCGAAUGGGUGAGUAACACGUACUCAACGUACCUUUUAGAUUGGGAUAGCGGAUGGAAACAUCCGAUAAUACCGAAUACUUAUUAUUUUUGCAUGAAAGUAAUAUAAAAGGAAGCGUUUGCUUCGCUAAAAGAUCGGAGUGCGCAACAUUAGCUAGUUGGUGAGGUAACGGCCCACCAAGGCGAUGAUGUUUAGCGGGGUUGAGAGAUUGAUCCGCCACACUGGGACUGAGAUACGGCCCAGACUCCUACGGGAGGCAGCAGUAGGGAAUAUUCCACAAUGGACGAAAGUCUGAUGGAGCGACACAGCGUGCAGGAUGAAGGCCCUAUGGGUUGUAAACUGCUGUGGUUAGGGAAGAAAAAGUAGCAUAGGAAAUGAUGCUACCUUGACGGUACCUGAUUAGAAAGCAACGGCUAACUAUGUGCCAGCAGCCGCGGUAAUACAUAGGUUGCAAGCGUUAUCCGAAAUUAUUGGGCGUAAAGCGUCUGUAGGUUGUUUGUUAAGUCUGGCGUUAAAUUUUGGGGCUCAACCCCAAAACGCGUUGGAUACUGGCAGACUAGAGUUAUGUAGAGGUUAGCGGAAUUCCUUGUGAAGCGGUGAAAUGCGUAGAUAUAAGGAAGAACAUCAAUAUGGCGAAGGCAGCUAACUGGGCAUACACUGACACUGAGAGACGAAAGCGUGGGGAGCAAACAGGAUUAGAUACCCUGGUAGUCCACGCCCUAAACGAUGAUCAUUAGUUGAUGGGGAACUCAUCGACGCAGCUAACGCAUUAAAUGAUCCGCCUGAGUAGUACGUUCGCAAGAAUAAAACUUAAAGGAAUUGACGGGGAUCCGCACAAGCGGUGGAGCAUGUGGUUUAAUUUGAAGAUACGCGUAGAACCUUACCCACUCUUGACAUCUUCUGCAAAGCUAURGAGACAUAGUGGAGGUUAACAGAAUGACAGAUGGUGCAUGGUUGUCGUCAGCUCGUGUCGUGAGAUGUUCGGUUAAGUCCUGCAACGAGCGCAACCCUUAUCCUUAGUUACUACCAUUUAGUUGAGCACUCUAARGAGACUGCCCGAGUAAUCGGGAGGAAGGUGGGGACGACGUCAAAUCAUCAUGCCUCUUACGAGUGGGGCUACACACGUGCUACAAUGGACGGUACAAAGAGAAGCGAAGUGGURACAUGGAGCAAACCUCAAAAAACCGUUCUCAGUUCGGAUUGAAGUCUGCAACUCGACUUCAUGAAGUCGGAAUCGCUAGUAAUCGUAGAUCAGCUACGCUACGGUGAAUACGUUCUCGGGUCUUGUACACACCGCCCGUCAAACCAUGGGAGCUGGUAAUGCCCGAAGUCGGUUUAUAAAGAAACUGCCUAAGGCAGGACUGGUGACUGGGGUUAAGUCGUAACAAGGUAUCCCUACGAGAAC